CUUCCAUUGACUUUUUGUCGACUCCAAUUUUG
rnacentral:sRNA from 1 species